CGGUAGUCGGGUCGAUGGUUGCGCCGGCUGGAGCGCCCGACAGACUGAACGUGAGUGUCUGCGGCGGGGAAUCAGGAUCGCUUGCCGUCGCUGUGAACACGAGAGUCCUGUUUUCCUCGAUCGAUCGAGGGCCGAUGGGAGCGAGCACCGGCGGAUUGUUGGGAGCAACGAGCGGCGCCGAAAACUCUGAUGUGUUGAGGGCUACGUCGGUUGCAGUGGCCGUGAUGAACCUUCCUGCCGGCACGACGCCGUCCACGAAGGAAAACAUCGCAUCGCCGGCGGCAUCCGUCGUAAUAUCGAUGAAGCCGAUGAAGGUCUGUCCUUCACCGAAGCCGCUUGGGUCCGGCGCGGCGCUCGUGAAAAAUUCGAUGCGCAGCACGGCGCCGGCGGCGCCGUUAAACUCGCCAUCGAUUUGAAGGCCGGAGCUGGUUACGGUGGCGCCUGUAAGGACAGGGAAGUUCUGCAAGUUGUUGGGGCCCGCAUCGGCGUCGCCGGCGCCGUCAUUGACGGUGACGCCGUCGUCGCCGAGGUCGAUGCCCAGUCCGCCAUUACUGAAGAUUGAAUUGCCAAGGAUGGCGUGCCCAUCGCCAGUGUUGACAUUCACGCCGGCGGCCGCGUUGAAGGCGAUAAUGUUGCCUUCACCCAAAUUUGUGCCGCCGAUACUGGUGACGUCCGUCGUGACGCCGGGGUUGCCGAUGAUGGCAAUGCCGCGCCCGAGAUUGCCCAAGGGGUUUCCAGUUAGCCCUGUGCCAAUGACAUUGCCCUGGAUGGUAUUCGCUAAGUUCUGGACCAGGAUGCCGUCGC
rnacentral:misc_RNA from 1 species